rnacentral:rRNA from 1 species
CUCGGGUGACGAGCGGCGGACGGGUGAGUAAUGUCUGGGAAACUGCCUGAUGGAGGGGGAUAACUACUGGAAACGGUAGCUAAUACCGCAUAACGUCGCAAGACCAAAGUGGGGGACCUUCGGGCCUCAUGCCAUCAGAUGUGCCCAGAUGGGAUUAGCUAGUAGGUGGGGUAACGGCUCACCUAGGCGACGAUCCCUAGCUGGUCUGAGAGGAUGACCAGCCACACUGGAACUGAGACACGGUCCAGACUCCUACGGGAGGCAGCAGUGGGGAAUAUUGCACAAUGGGCGCAAGCCUGAUGCAGCCAUGCCGCGUGUGUGAAGAAGGCCUUCGGGUUGUAAAGCACUUUCAGCGGGGAGGAAGGCGUUAAGGUUAAUAACCUUGGCGAUUGACGUUACCCGCAGAAGAAGCACCGGCUAACUCCGUGCCAGCAGCCGCGGUAAUACGG